ACUAUUUUAAUUGGUGUUCAUAGUUUGAUCGUUCAUUCUUCUGUCGGAGUUCAAUUUGAGUUACCCGACAUUUGUUUAUGGUUGUUUUUAAUUUUCUCUGAUAGAUUAUUCGGAGUGCAAUUGUUCCGAGUGUCGUGGAGUACACCAAGUUGAUCUAGACUAAGGCCAAGAAAAGUUACACUUUUGAACAUCUCUGAACUGUGUACUGGCAACCGAUCCAAAGACGCAACAUACAUUGAGAUUCUGAUCCUCACACGUCCGGGUCGCCACAGAUGUAUUUUGCAAUGAAACGUUUUCCUUAUUACAGUGGGUUUUGUUCUAUAGAAAAGUUUCGUAGAACGCAAGAUUCACAUUAAUUUUGGAGGACUUCCAUUGUGAACUCUGGAAACUCUUAAAAAGAUCAUUUGUGUUUCCUUAACAUUCAUAAUAUGUUUUUAUUCUUAUGUAUGGAUCGUAUCCUGUGUAUGAACCAACAACAUAAAAGUCUCGACCUCUAAUUAUGUAUCCAA